GACGAACGCUGGCGGCGUGCUUAACACAUGCAAGUCGAACGGAAAGGCCCUGCUUUUGUGGGGUGCUCGAGUGGCGAACGGGUGAGUAACACGUGAGUAACCUGCCCUUGACUUUGGGAUAACUUCAGGAAACUGGGGCUAAUACCGGAUAGGAGCUCCUGCUGCAUGGUGGGGGUUGGAAAGUUUCGGCGGUUGGGGAUGGACUCGCGGCUUAUCAGCUUGUUGGUGGGGUAGUGGCUUACCCAGGCUUUGACGGGUAGCCGGCCUGAGAGGGUGACCGGGCACAUUGGGACUGAGAUACGGCCCAGACUGCUACGGGAGGCAGCAGUGGGGAAUAUUGCACAAUGGGCGGAAGCCUGAUGCAGCAACGCCGCGUGCGGGAUGACGGCCUUCGGGUUGUAAACCGCUUUCGCCUGUGACGAAGCGUGAGUGACGGUAAUGGGUAAAGAAGCACCGGCUAACUACGUG
rnacentral:rRNA from 1 species